CUUUCGUAAUUUCGCAACUUAAACUCUUCUUCCACAAAUAAACCGUCAACGAAUAUUCAAAUUUCAAAAUUCAUUUCUAAUUUCUUCAAAUCGAGUUUGAAUUUGAGUGGAGAAGCGAUUUUGUUCGUCUAUCUUCUUCUGAUUCUUUUCUCCGAUCAAUUGAAUUUCAUGUUCAAUGGCGUAUGAUUCGUUGGGUUAGUUCAAAUCGGGAUCCAAGGGUUUCGAUUUUGGGUCGGUGAUAAUCGAUAGAUGGAUACGCGGAUUGGAUUUGGAUCGUGUGAUAGUACUACCAAAUCGAAGAAGCAAUCAAGUGGCAAUUCAUAUCUCAAUUUGGAGACGGGAACAAAUCUUGGAUCUUUGUCAUACACAUCAAGAUUGAAAGUAAUCAAAUUAGCAAGCGGUGAAAUUUUGUUUAGUAAGGGGUCGUGUUUCUUGCCUCAUGCUGAUAUCUUUGAGCAUAUGUCAGG